UUUUGGAUAAAGACACAGUAGAGACGAAUGGAAAGGAGAGACGGGAAAGAGGAAAAGAAGCCAGGAAGAGAGAGGAGCGGGUUGGCCGUGGCAGUGGCUCCGCUGCACGGAGCCUGAUGAGACUGAGCAGAUCUGGCCAUGCAGUGACUGGGGAGCAGUACGGUGGCGGGUGCUAGGUUGGUGACUAGAGCCAGAGAGACGGAGCCUCGGGAUCGGUGUGGAAGCGACUUGGAAGCACGAGUGACCGGCGUGCAGGCGAGACGAAAGGGUCGAGACGCACCAGAAGAGGAGCGUGGAGGAGCUGCACCGGAGGCUGCUGUCGUGUUACAUUUCACCCAGGCCUUGGAAGACUUACACUGGGAGUUGGUGGUUACCACUCCCGGGCAGAGUCCGGUUGAUUACCGUGAAGCACGUGGAGGAGAAUCAGUGCGGAGGAGAGAGAGACAUUGAGUCGCGUCGCGUUCUCGGGGUCUUCUUCGGGAAGACACAGAUUUGGUCCUGCUGUGGAUGAGGGGGUUUCGCCCAACGAUUUUCCGUCCUUCUUCUGACUGAACCCUUUUUAAGAGUACUGGGGAUGGGAUUUUUAGGCUUCUUUCUGGUCUAGAUAAUUGAGUAUGAUAUAGAACCCCUGAGGUAAUUUUACGUAUGUGCUUUUUGUCUGUUUUCUUUUCUGUUUGGGUUAGUUUUGUAUUUAAUGUAAUUAUUUGUACUUUUAUUUAUUUCAGUAUUAAUAUUGAUUGGGCGUGGGUUAUAUUGGUUAGUAGUUUAAUUGUGUGAUUUGUAGGUAGUGUUUUGUGUGUGAGUGAGUUUUCUUUUGAUUGAUGUGCAGGUGUUGGUUUUGUAUUGAUUUGUGUGUGUUGGGGGUUGUAUGGGGGAUGACCCUAACCUAGUCGUACUGAAUUGUAAGUAAAAGUCACCCUAGUAUUUUAAAGUAAUUAGCCUGCUGAGAAGAGUAACUUUAAUGUGAAUUCUUUUUAUGGUCAAUAAAAAUUAUUUUUAAAGUGUCAGACAA